rnacentral:rRNA from 1 species
UACAGAGGUCCCGAGCGUUGGUUCGGAUUCACUGGGUUUAAAGGGUGCGUAGGCGGCUCUUUUAAGUCAGUGGUGAAAUACUGCAGCUCAACUGUAGCAUUGCCAUUGAUACUGAAGAGCUUGAGUACAGAUGAGGUAGGCGGAAUUUAUGGUGUAGCGGUGAAAUGCAUAGAUACCAUAAGAACACCGAUUGCGAAGGCAGCUUACUAGCUGUAACUGACGCUGAGGCACGAAAGCGUGGGGAGCGAACAGG